AGAGGCCACCACGACCGAUUAGGACCAGCCUGGCCCACCCUCUCCAUUUUAUUGUGGGGUGUGGUGAGGAGGAAGACGAGGAAGACGAGGAGGAGGAGGUGGAAGAGAGCCAGGACGUGGCAGAAGCGAGAGACUGGAGGGAAGUUUCGAGAAGGGGGACAGCUCAGAGUUUCAGAGACUUUCUGGGGUCUAAACUCCUAAAGGAAGACUUUCCACAGUGGUUACCUGAUCGUGCAUUUCGGCCCGGAGACAGACGCUCAGGGCUCAUUUGGGCUCCCAUCGCUCCAGUUGCCACCGUUCUCGUCACUUGCCUUAUCUGACAGCUAUCUUUCUCAGAAUAAGGGCAUUCUCCAUCGAAGACUGCCGGAUGCCGCCCCUUAUUUCUGUCUCUCUGAGGGCGGACACUCCCUUACAGGCUUCAGCAUGGCCCUGGACUGGGGUCUGGACAAAGACCCUGAAGAGAAUGGAGGGGAAACAUGAGACAGGGAGGGGGGCUAGGAGAGCAGGAGGGGUGCGUAAUACUGUAUUUAUUGUUUUUAUUAAUUACCCAGAUAUCAUGUGUUUAGAAAGCACAAACAAACAAACAAAGAAGAAAAUACACUACCCAUAAUUAAGGUACCUGGAGAU